rnacentral:lncRNA from 1 species
ACCCUCCUCCUUGUGUGGGUGGCAUUUACCCACCCACAGGUCACGCUCAGGACCCGCAUCUCAUUCCGAUCCUCCUUGUGUGGGUGGUACUUACCCACCCACAGGUCACGCUCAGGACCCCACAUCUCAUUCUGAAGGCCGGGCACAGGCGGUUGUUUUCUCUCCAACUUCGGUUUCCCCAUCCCCACUCUUAGGGCACAAAUGCAGGUGUAGCUUCCCCAUGCCCACUCUUUAGGCACAAAUGCAGGUGUAGCUUCCCCAUCCCCACUCUUAGGGCACAAAUGCAGGUGCAGCUUCCCCAUCCCCACUCUUAGGGCACAAAUGCAGGUGCAGCUUCCCCAUCCCCACUCUUUAGGCACAAAUGCAGGUGCAGCUUUCCCAUCCCCACUCUUAGGGCACAAAUGCAGGUGCAGCUUUCCCAUCCCCACUCUUAGGGCACAAAUGCAGGUGCAGCUUUCCCAUCCCCACUCUUAGGGCACAAAUGCAGGUGCAGCUUCCCCAUCCCCACUCUUUAGGCACAAAUGCAGGUGCAGCUUCCCCAUCCCCACUCUUAGGGCACAAAUGCAGGUGCAGCUUCCCCAUCCCCACUCUUAGGGCACAAAUGCAGGUGCAGCUUCCCCAUCCCCACUCUUUAGGCACAAAUGCAGGUGCAGCUUCCCCAUCCCCACUCUUAGGGCACAAAUGCAGGUGCAGCUUCCCCAUCCCCACUCUUUAGGCACAAAUGCAGGUGCAGCUUCCCCAUCCCCACUCUUAGGGCACAAAUGCAGGUGCAGCUUCCCCAUCCCCACUCUUUAGGCACAAAUGCAGGUGCUGUGAGCGCUUUAGAAUCCUCUGCUGCAGGUGACUUUGC